UGGGUGACCUGCCUUCAGCUCUGGGAUAAGCCUGGGAAACUGGGUCUAAUACCUGAUAUUCACUGCCUGUCGCAUGGUGGGUGGUGGAAAGUUUUUCGGCUGGGGAUGGGCUCGCGGCCUAUCAGCUUGUUGGUGGGGUGAUGGCCUAACAAGGCGACGACGGGUAGCCGGCCUGAGAGGGCGACCGGCCACACUGGGACUGAGACACGGCCCAGACUCCGUACGGGA
rnacentral:rRNA from 1 species